UACGUAGGGUGCGAGCGUUGUCCGGAAUUAUUGGGCGUAAAGAGCUCGUAGGCGGUUUGUCGCGUCGGCCGUGAAAACUGGAGGCUUAACUUCCAGCUUGCGGUCGAUACGGGCAGACUUGAGUUCGGUAGGGGAGACUGGAAUUCCUGGUGUAGCGGUGAAAUGCGCAGAUAUCAGGAGGAACACCGGUGGCGAAGGCGGCAUUCUGGACCGACAUUGACGCUGAGGAGCGAAAGCCAGGGGAGCAAACGGG
rnacentral:rRNA from 1 species